GCUGUCUUGCUUGAUCCUUCUUUGUGAUUCGUUUGUGUUUUAGCUUUUAUUUUCGGAACUUUAUUAACUACAAACUUGGCUAUUCAAACGGACUCUGAUUGAUUGCAAUAACGACAUACUCAGCCUGGGAUUUACUGUUUUUGUGUGGCUCGGCCAAGGCUCGGCUGGUGGUUCUAUGGUGUUAGAAAAUGAGCAACUUAAUUAUACACAACAAUGGGCAGCACCUCGAUCGGUUACAGCUCAUGAUCUUAUAUGCACAACAUGUUGGACCCAAGCCCAAGAUACAACACAAAUGCAUCUACUUCAAAUCUUAGCAGAAAAUGUGUGCUUUGCAGUAGAACACUAGAGCCUAGAACACGUUCACAUCAGCUCAUGUCCCUGAGAACUAACACUCAACAUCAUAUUAACAUCAGGAACAUAAUUGUGGAACGACUAACUCCAUUAGAGGUUACUGCAAAUGACUACAUCUGUGGGGCUUGUCACUCAUUAUUGCAAAGAGAUACCACACCUACUUCACAAGACUCUCCAGAUAUGCCAACCGGUGCCCCGGUAGGUCACCAACAAGUUUGUGUUGGAUGUGGUUGUUCAUUAUUGCGAACUUGAAGUCAUUGUUUGGAUACAGAGAAUAAUCAAGAUAUAUUAAACAUUGUUCGAAAUUGGAUUCAACCCAGAGAGAUUCGUCCUUCAGAUCUUCUUUGCCAUAGAUACUAUCAGAGAGCACGAAUUACUACAGUUGGUGCUUAUUUAAUGAAGCUGAGGACCGG